rnacentral:rRNA from 1 species
CUGCAGCCCGAGUGGUGAUCGAUUUUAUUGAGCCUAAAGCGUCCGUAGCCUGUUUAGUAAAUGCCUGGGUAAAUUGUAUAGCUUAACUAUACAAAUACUGGGUAGACUGCUAAACUUGGGACCGGGAGAGGCUAGAGGUACUCCUGGGGUAGAGGUGAAAUUCUGUCAUCCUAGGGGGACCACCAGUGGCGAAGGCGUCUAGCUAGAACGGGUCUGACGGUGAGGGACGAAGCCCUGGGGCGCAAACCGGAUUAGAUACCCGAGUAGUCC